UUGCCUUAGUCUACUAAUUUCUUUAUUUCAUAGCAUUUUUCUCCUGCUAGCAUACUAAUAAUUUUCUUAUGUAUUAUGCAUAUUAAUUAUAACCUGUCAUCUCUGCUAUGCUGUAAGCUCCAUGAGGGCAGGAAUCUUUGUCUGAUUUGUUCACUAAUGAAGCCCAGUACUUUUUUUUUUUUUUGGUUUUGGGUACUGGGGAUUGAACCUAGGGGCAGUUUACCAUUAAGCGACAUCCCCAUCCCUUUUUAUUUUUUAUUUUGAGACAGGGUAUCACUAAGUUGCUUAAAGCCUUGCUAAACUGCUAAGGCUGGCCUCAAACUUGUGAUCCUCCUAUCUCGGACCCCGAAGUCGCUGGGAUUAUAGGUGUUCACCUCUGUGCCCAACUGAAACCCAGUACUUUGAACAGUGCCUGGUACCCAGUAAUCAUCAGUAAAUAUUUUCCAAAUUGUAUUUAAAAUCUAGACACAUCCUGGCAAAAUUUCAAAAUUCCAAUCAUAAACAGGAAAUCCUCAAGUCUUUCCUAUUUCCUAUUAAAGAAAACAAGAUACAGAAUAGUCACACCCAACAUUAGCAAUAUUGGAUCCUGGAAACUAAGAGAAACAUCUUCAUAGUUAACAAAGAAACAAAUCUUGGAACUAGAAUUCUAAAUCUUGCCAAACUACCAGUUAUUUAUGAAUGUAAUAAUAGGGCAUUUUCAGAUAUACUAGAACUCAGGAUGUUAAUUAUCCAUGCUCUAUAGCAGAAAAUAAAAGUAGUCACAUUUAUUUUCCAGCAAAAAUUUUAAAAAGGUCCAAGAAAGAAGACAACAUGGGAUAUAAGACACUGCAAUCCCUCUCCUAAAGUGAAAGAAUCCAACAAAAAAUUCAGAGGAUUCAUUAUAUUAGGAUGCUGGAAGGAUCUUUUUGGACCAACAACUUAAAUGACAUAACAAUUUACAUUUGUUAAUAUUUUCUGUCUCAAAUCACUCUAAUUCCAGAGUCCAUACCUACCCAUUGAGUCAAUGACUUCUUUUCUUUAUUAUCAGUGUUUCCUACAUUGUUGAAUGGCAGAAUUUCAUAAAGUUGACUAAAGUGAUAUCAAAGAAUGCCUUAUUUACAAAAAAAGAAUUUGAUUGUCAAACCAAAUAACAAAUAAAGAGAAAAGUGACAAGGACAUAGACAUGAUAAGUGCUUCAAAGAGGAUGAUUUGAUAUCAAUGGAUCAUUGGGGACUGAGGCUGUGGCUCAGUGGUAGUUCACUUGCCUGGCAUGUGUGGGACACUGGGUUCAAUUCUCAGUACCACAUAUAAAUAAAUAAAAUAAAUAUCUAUCGACAAAUAAAUAUAAAUAUAUAUAUAUAUUAACAUUGU
rnacentral:lncRNA from 1 species